UCCCGGGUCGACUAAGGGCAAGUCCGCAGAUUUUGGCUCUGUUGAUGGGGGUUCGAAUCCUCCCCCGGGAG
rnacentral:tRNA from 1 species